rnacentral:rRNA from 1 species
AUUGAACGCUUGCGGCAGGCCUAACACAUGCAAGUCGAACGAGUGGCGGACGGGUGAGUAAUGUCUGGGAAACUGCCUGAUGGAGGGGGAUAACUACUGGAAACGUUAGCUAAUACCGCAUACCAUCAGAUGUGCCCAGAUGGGAUUAGCUUGUUGGUGGGGUAACGGCUCACCAAGGCGACGAUCCCUAGCUGGUCUGAGAGGAUGACCAGCCACGCUGGAACUGGGACACGGUCCAGACUCCGACGGGAGGCAUCAUGGGGGAAUAUUGCAAAAUGGGCGCAAGCCUGAUGCAGCCAUGCCGCGUGUAUGAAGAAGGCCUUCGGGUUGUAAAGUAAUUUCAGCGGGGAGGCGUUACCCGCAGAAGAAGCAACGGACAACCCCGUGCCAGCAGCCGCGGUAAUAC